rnacentral:rRNA from 1 species
CCUACGGGAGGCAGCAGUGGGGAAUUUUGGACAAUGGGCGCAAGCCUGAUCCAGCAAUGCCGCGUGAGUGAAGAAGGCCUUCGGGUUGUAAAGCUCUUUUGUCAGGGAAGAAACGGUGUUUUCUAAUACAGAGCGCUAAUGACGGUACCUGAAGAAUAAGCACCGGCUAACUACGUGCCAGCAGCCGCGGUAAUACGUAGGGUGCAAGCGUUAAUCGGAAUUACUGGGCGUAAAGCGUGCGCAGGCGGUUUUGUAAGUUUGUCGUGAAAUCCCCGGGCUCAACCUGGGAAUGGCGAUGAAGACUGCAAGGCUAGAGUUUGGCAGAGGGGGGUAGAAUUCCACGUGUAGCAGUGAAAUGCGUAGAUAUGUGGAGGAACACCGAUGGCGAAGGCAGCCCCCUGGGUCAAAACUGACGCUCAUGCACGAAAGCGUGGGGAGCAAACAGGAUUAGAUACCCUGGUAGUCCACGCCCUAAACGAUGUCUACUAGUUGUCGGGUCUUAAUUGACUUGGUAACGCAGCUAACGCGUGAGUAGACCGCCUGGGGAGUACGGUCGCAAGAUUAAAACUUCAAAGGAAUUGACGG